rnacentral:rRNA from 1 species
UACGUAGGCAGCGAGCGUUGUUCGGAAUUAUUGGGCGUAAAGAGUGUGUAGGCGGUGCUCCAAGUCUGUUGUGAAAUCUCCCGGCUUAACUGGGAGGGUGCGGCGGAAACUGGAAUGCUAGAGGGUGGGAGAGGUAAGCGGAAUUCCUGGUGUAGCGGUGAAAUGCGUAGAUAUCAGGAGGAACACCUGUGGCGAAAGCGGCUCACUGGACCAUAACUGACGCUGAUGCACGAAAGCUAGGGGAGCAAACAGG